rnacentral:misc_RNA from 1 species
GUAGGUGAACCUGCGGAAGGAUCAUUACCUUUCUUGUCUUUUAAAGACUUGUCGGGGGGUUUGUAUUUAUUACAAUUGAUUUUGUAUUGACUAUUGCCCCUGUCUGAACCCGUGUCUUUGCGUACUACUUGUUUCCUUGGUGGGCUUGCCUACCAAAAGGACAUUAUCAAACCCUUGUAAUUGCAAUCAGCGUCAGAAAACUAUAAUAAUUACAACUUUCAACAACGGAUCUCUUGGCUCUG